UACGAAGGGUGCUAGCGUUGUUCGGAAUCACUGGGCGUAAAGCGCACGUAGGCGGUUUUGUAAGUCAGGGGUGAAAUCCCGGGGCUCAACCUCGGAACUGCCUUUGAUACUGCAAAUCUCGAGUCCGAUAGAGGUGGGUGGAAUUCCUAGUGUAGAGGUGAAAUUCGUAGAUAUUAGGAAGAACACCGGUGGCGAAGGCGGCCCACUGGAUCGGUACUGACGCUGAGGUGCGAAAGCGUGGGGAGCAAACAGG
rnacentral:rRNA from 1 species